CUCCCCUUAGUUUAAUGGAUAAAACAGAGGCCUUCUAAGCCCCCGAUUCCAGUUCGAGUCUGGGAGGGGAGA
rnacentral:tRNA from 1 species